rnacentral:rRNA from 1 species
AGAGUUUGAUCCUGGCUCAGAAUGAACGCUGGCGGCGUGCUUAACACAUGCAAGUCGAACGAUGAAGCCCAGCUUGCUGGGUGGAUUAGUGGCGCACGGGUGAGUAAUAUAUAGAUAACGUGCCUCUUAGUCUGGGAUAGCCAUUGGAAACGAUGAUUAAUACCUAAUACACCUUACUUAGUAAAUAAGUAAGGGAAAUGCUUUCGUGCCUAAAGAUAAGACUAUAUGGUAUCAGGUAGUUGGUGGGGUAAGAGCCUACCAAGCCUAUGACGCCUAGCUGGUCUGAGAGGAUGAUCAGCCACACUGGAACUGAGACACGGUCCAGACUCCUACGGGAGGCAGCAGUGGGGAAUAUUGCACAAUGGAGGAAACUCUGAUGCAGCAACGCCGCGUGGAGGAUGACGCAUUUCGGUGUGUAAACUCCUUUUAUAUGGGAAGAUAAUGACGGUACCAUAUGAAUAAGCACCGGCUAACUCCGUGCCAGCAGCCCCGGUAAUACGGAAGGUGCAAGCGUUACUCGGAAUCACUGGGCGUAAAGCGCGC